rnacentral:rRNA from 1 species
CCUACGGGAGGCAGCAGUGAGGAAUAUUGGUCAAUGGGCGGGAGCCUGAACCAGCCAGGCCGCGUGAGGGAAGAAGGUACAGCGUAUCGUAAACCUCUUUUGUCAGGGAACAAAGGCGGGGACUAGUCCCCGGAUGAGGGUACCUGAUGAAAAAGCAUCGGCUAACUCCGUGCCAGCAGCCGCGGUAAUACGGAGGAUGCGAGCGUUAUCCGGAUUUAUUGGGUUUAAAGGGUGCGCAGGCGGCCUGUUAAGUCAGUGGGAAAAGCCCGGGGCUAAACCCCGUCGAGCCGUUGAAACUGGGGGGCUGGAGUGGGAGAGAAGGACGCGGAAUGCGCGGUGUAGCGGUGAAAUGCUUAGAUAUCGCGCAGAACCCCGAUUGCGAAGGCAGCGUACCGGCUCCAAACUGACGCUGAGGCACGAAAGCGUGGGUAUCGAACAGGAUUAGAUACCCUAGUAGUC